AUGCCCUCCGCAGUGGGUUAUCAACCUACUCUUAGUAUAGAAAUGGGUUCUUUGCAAGAAAGAAUUGCUUCUACUAAAAAGGAAUCUAUAACUUCGAUUCAAGCAGUUUAUGUACCUGCAGACGAUUUGACCGACCCUGCCCCUGCCACAACAUUUGCACAUUUGGAUGCUACUACCGUACUUUCCAGAGGAUUAGCUUCCAAGGGUAUUUAUCCAGCAGACCUCUUUCCGAUGAAAAAUCUUUUUUGUGUAAUUCCAAAUGUGAAGCAAGUCUCCGUAUCUUAUUGGUGA
rnacentral:rRNA from 1 species